CAGGCUUAACACAUGCAAGUCGAGGGGCAUCAGGAAGAAAGCUUGCUUUCUUUGCUGGCGACCGGCGCACGGGUGAGUAACACGUAUCCAACCUGCCCUUUACUCGGGGAUAGCCUUUCGAAAGAAAGAUUAAUACCCGAUGGCAUAAUGAUUCCGCAUGGUUUCAUUAUUAAAGGAUUCCGGUAAAGGAUGGGGAUGCGUUCCAUUAGGUUGUUGGUGAGGUAACGGCUCACCAAGCCUUCGAUGGAUAGGGGUUCUGAGAGGAAGGUCCCCCACAUUGGAACUGAGACACGGUCCAAACUCCUACGGGAGGCAGCAGUGAGGAAUAUUGGUCAAUGGGCGCUAGCCUGAACCAGCCAAGUAGCGUGAAGGAUGAAGGCUCUAUGGGUCGUAAACUUCUUUUAUAUAAGAAUAAAGUGCAGUAUGUAUACUGUUUUGUAUGUAUUAUAUGAAUAAGGAUCGGCUAACUCCGUGCCAGCAGCCGCGGUAAUACGGAGGAUCCGAGCGUUAUCCGGAUUUAUUGGGUUUAAAGGGAGCGUAGGUGGACUGGUAAGUCAGUUGUGAAAGUUUGCGGCUCAACCGUAAAAUUGCAGUUGAUACUGUCAGUCUUGAGUACAGUAGAGGUGGGCGGAAUUCGUGGUGUAGCGGUGAAAUGCUUAGAUAUCACGAAGAACUCCGAUUGCGAAGGCAGCUCACUGGACUGCAACUGACACUGAUGCUCGAAAGUGUGGGUAUCAAACAGGAUUAGAUACCCUGGUAGUCCACACAGUAAACGAUGAAUACUCGCUGUUUGCGAUAUACAGUAAGCGGCCAAGCGAAAGCAUUAAGUAUUCCACCUGGGGAGUACGCCGGCAACGGUGAAACUCAAAGGAAUUGACGGGGGCCCGCACAAGCGGAGGAACAUGUGGUUUAAUUCGAUGAUACGCGAGGAACCUUACCCGGGCUUAAAUUGCAGUGGAAUGAUGUGGAAACAUGUCAGUGAGCAAUCACCGCUGUGAAGGUGCUGCAUGGUUGUCGUCAGCUCGUGCCGUGAGGUGUCGGCUUAAGUGCCAUAACGAGCGCAACCCUUAUCUUUAGUUACUAACAGGUUAUGCUGAGGACUCUAGAGAGACUGCCGUCGUAAGAUGUGAGGAAGGUGGGGAUGACGUCAAAUCAGCACGGCCCUUACGUCCGGGGCUACACACGUGUUACAAUGGGGGGUACAGAAGGCAGCUAGCGGGUGACCGUAUGCUAAUCCCAAAAGCCUCUCUCAGUUCGGAUCGAAGUCUGCAACCCGACUUCGUGAAGCUGGAUUCGCUAGUAAUCGCGCAUCAGCCACGGCGCGGUGAAUACGUUCCCGGGCCUUGUACACACCGCCCGUCAAGCCAUGGGAGCCGGGGGUACCUGAAGUACGUAACCGCAAGGAUCGUCCUAGGGUAAAACUGGUGACUGGGGCUAAGUCAUAACA
rnacentral:rRNA from 1 species